rnacentral:rRNA from 1 species
CCUACGGGGGGCAGCAGUGAGGAAUAUUGGUCAAUGGGCGGAAGCCUGAACCAGCCAAGUAGCGUGCAGGAUGACGGCCCUACGGGUUGUAAACUGCUUUUAUACGGGAAUAAAGCGCCGUACGUGUAGGGCUUUGCAUGGACCGUAUGAAUAAGGACCGGCUAAUUCCGUGCCAGCAGCCGCGGUAAUACGGAAGGUCCGGGCGUUAUCCGGAUUUAUUGGGGUGCAAGGGAGCGUAGGCCGCAUGUCAAGCGUGCUGUGAAAUGGCCGGGCGCAACCCGGGCCUUGCAGCGCGAACGGGCGUGCUUGAGUCCGCGGCACGCAGGCCGAAUUCGUCUUGUCGCGGU